UACGUAGGGUGCAAGCGUUGUCCGGAAUUAUUGGGCGUAAAGGGUGCGUAGGUGGUGAGGUAAGUCGGAUGUGAAAUCUCGGAGCUCAACUCCGAAAUGGCAUUGGAAACUACCUUGCUCGAGGGUUGGAAGGGGGACUGGAAUGCUUGGUGUAGCAGUGAAAUGCGUAGAUAUCAAGCGGAACACCAGUGGCGAAGGCGAGUCCCUGGACAACUCCUGACACUGAGGCACGAAAGCUAGGGGAGCAAACAGG
rnacentral:rRNA from 1 species